UACGUAGGGUGCGAGCGUUGUCCGGAAUUAUUGGGCGUAAAGAGCUUGUAGGCGGUUUGUCGCGUCUGCUGUGAAAAUCCGGGGCUCAACCCCGGGCUUGCAGUGGGUACGGGCAGACUGGAGUGUGGUAGGGGAGACUGGAAUUCCUGGUGUAGCGGUGGAAUGCGCAGAUAUCAGGAGGAACACCGAUGGCGAAGGCAGGUCUCUGGGCCACUACUGACGCUGAGAAGCGAAAGCAUGGGGAGCGAACAGG
rnacentral:rRNA from 1 species